CACUCCUACGGGAGGCAGCAGUGGGGAAUAUUGGACAAUGGGCGCAAGCCUGAUCCAGCCAUGCCGCGUGAGUGAUGAAGGCCCUAGGGUUGUAAAGCUCUUUCACCGGAGAAGAUAAUGACGGUAUCCGGAGAAGAAGCCCCGGCUAACUUCGUGCCAGCAGCCGCGGUAAUACGAAGGGGGCUAGCGUUGUUCGGAAUUACUGGGCGUAAAGCGCACGUAGGCGGAUCGAUCAGUCAGGGGUGAAAUCCCAGGGCUCAACCCUGGAACUGCCUUUGAUACUGUCGAUCUGGAGUAUGGAAGAGGUGAGUGGAAUUCCGAGUGUAGAGGUGAAAUUCGUAGAUAUUCGGAGGAACACCAGUGGCGAAGGCGGCUCACUGGUCCAUUACUGACGCUGAGGUGCGAAAGCGUGGGGAGCAAACAGGAUUAGAAACCCCUGUAGUCCCAUGA
rnacentral:rRNA from 1 species